UACGGGAGGCAGCAGUGGGGAAUAUUGGACAAUGGGCGGAAGCCUGAUCCAGCCAUGCCGCGUGUGUGAAGAAGGCCUUUUGGUUGUAAAGCACUUUAAGCGAGGAGGAGGCUACUAGUACUAAUACUACUGGAUAGUGGACGUUACUCGCAGAAUAAGCACCGGCUAACUCUGUGCCAGCAGCCGCGGUAAUACAGAGGGUGCGAGCGUUAAUCGGAUUUACUGGGCGUAAAGCGUGCGUAGGCGGCUGAUUAAGUCGGAUGUGAAAUCCCUGAGCUUAACUUAGGAAUUGCAUUCGAUACUGGUCAGCUAGAGUAUGGGAGAGGAUGGUAGAAUUCCAGGUGUAGCGGUGAAAUGCGUAGAGAUCUGGAGGAAUCCGGAUGGGCGAAGGGCAGCCAUCUGGGCCUAAUCUGACGCUGAGGUCGAAAGCAUGGGGAGCAAACGAGGAUUAAGGAAUAACC
rnacentral:rRNA from 1 species